CCUACGGGAGGCAGCAGUAGGGAAUAUUGCUCAAUGGGGGAAACCCUGAAGCAGCAACGCCGCGUGGAGGAUGAAGGUCUUCGGAUUGUAAACUCCUUUUGUUAGAGAAGAUAAUGACGGUAUCUAACGAAUAAGCACCGGCGAACUCCGUGCCAGCAGCCGCGGUAAUACGGAGGGUGCAAGCGUUACUCGGAAUCACUGGGCGUAAAGAGCGCGUAGGCGGGAUAGCAAGUCAGGUGUGAAAUCCUAUGGCGUAACCAUAGAACUGCAUUUGAAACUGGUAGUCGGGAGUAUGGGAGAGGUAGGUGGAAUUCUUGGUGUAGGGGUAAAAUCCGUAGAGAUCAAGAGGAAUACUCAUUGCGAAGGCGACCUGCUAGAACGUAACUGACGCUGAUGCGCGAAAGCGUGGGGAGCAAACAGGAUUAGAUACCCCUGUAGUC
rnacentral:rRNA from 1 species